rnacentral:rRNA from 1 species
GAUCAGGCUCAGGAUGAACGCUAGCUACAGGCUUAACACAUGCAAGUCGAGGGGCAGCAUGGUCUUAGCUUGCUAAGGCCGAUGGCGACCGGCGCACGGGUGAGUAACACGUAUCCAACCUGCCGUCUACUCUUGGACAGCCUUCUGAAAGGAAGAUUAAUACAAGAUGGCAUCAUGAGUCCGCAUGUUCACAUGAUUAAAGGUAUUCCGGUAGACGAUGGGG